rnacentral:rRNA from 1 species
AAGGCGGCCUCCUGGACCACUCCUGACACUCAGACGCGAAAGCUAGGGUAGCAAACGGGAUUAGAGACCCCGGUAGUCCUAGCCCUAAACGAUGUAGACUUGGCGUCGGUGGUUUAAUCGCCAUCGGUGUCGUAGCUAACGCGNUAAGUCUACCGCCUGGGGACUACGGCCGCAAGGUUAAAACUCAAAGGAAUUGACGGGUCCCCGCACAAGCAGCGGAGCGUGUGGUUUAAUUCGAUGCUACACGAAGAACCUUACCUGGGUUUGACAUAGAGGUAGUAGGGAAGCGAAAGCGGACCGACCCUUCGGGGAGCCUCUACAGGUGUUGCAUGGCUGUCGUCAGCUCGUGUCGUGAGAUGUUCGGUUAAGUCCGCUAACGAGCGCAACCCUCGCUGUGUGUUACAAGUGUCACACGGUACUGCCGAUAUUAAGUCA